UCGGUGAUUAGCGCAGCCCGGUAGCGCAUCUGGUUUGGGACCAGAGGGUCAAAGGUUCGAAUCCUUUAUCACCGACCA
rnacentral:tRNA from 1 species